rnacentral:lncRNA from 1 species
AUGACACUGAAAGCUUUUUCUUUAUUACCUGCAGAGGAGAAGAAAGUAAAGAGCACUAAAGUGGAAGCAAAAGUUAAAAAGGAAGUGAAGGAUGGAAAAGGAGAAGCAAAGACGGCAGAGAAGGUGAAGCAGGCAGAGACAAAAACAACAGAAACUGGGCUAAUAAAGGCCAAAACGAAAGUUAAGGAGGAGAAAGCUCUUCAGACUGUAACUAAAUCGGACAAGAAAGAUCAAUAUGCAUUCUGUCGCUAUGUGAUUGACAUGUUUGCGCAAGGGGAUUUUUAUCCAGGUACAGGACAUAAGGAAUUCGUACCACCUCGUCUCCUUCUAGAACACAGUCCAAGAAAGAAACCAGCAGCCUUUGAAGAAGAAAAGUCUACUGUGGAACCUAGAGAACUGAAAAGUACGUUGCUUUGUUGUUUUUCUUUAUUUUUUCAUUAUCUUCGUGUUAGUUUUAUGCAAG